rnacentral:rRNA from 1 species
CCUACGGGAGGCAGCAGUGAGGAAUAUUGGUCAAUGGGCGCGAGCCUGAACCAGCCAAGUCGCGUGAGGGAAGACGGUCCUAUGGAUUGUAAACCUCUUUUGUCGGGGAGCAAAAGACGCCACGCGUGGCGUUCCGAGAGUACCCGACGAAAAAGCAUCGGCUAACUCCGUGCCAGCAGCCGCGGUAAUACGGAGGAUGCGAGCGUUAUCCGGAUUUAUUGGGUUUAAAGGGUGCGCAGGCGGAAGAUCAAGUCAGCGGUAAAAUUGAGGGGCUCAACCUCUUCGAGCCGUUGAAACUGGUUGUCGUGAGGGAGCGAGAAGGAUGCGGAAAGCGUGGUGUAGCGGGGAAAUGCAUA